rnacentral:sRNA from 1 species
GAUCUGACUGUAGUGCCUGUCCUCCCACUUGCUGCAGGGAUGGCGCCCGGGAUCUGCUAGCUAGGGAUGCGGGCCCUGCUUUUGUCAGUGCUCAUCCAGAAGCUGCAGGCUCAGUGAGGAUAACCCCACCACCACCACCACCACCACCACCGAGAAGCUCUGUGCUUCUGUUAAAGGUAUAAGACUACCCCCGUGCUCCUGCUAACGCUUUCCCAAGGCUCUCAGGGUCUACAGUUUUGUAUCGGGUAUCAGGUAUGCUAACCAAUGCAACAAGGCAAGAAAAAGAACUUGAAAAAAGCCAUAUGCUUUGUUUUAAAGACU